GACGAACGCUGGCGGCGUGCUUAACACAUGCAAGUCGAACGAUGAAGAAAAGACUCGAAGCUUCGGCAGAAAUUCAUUUCGGAUUAGUGGCAGACGGGUGAGUAACGCGUGAGCAACCUACCUCUUACAAAGGGAUAGCCUCGGGAAACCGGGAUUAAUACCAUAUAACAUUGCGACGAAGCAUUUCGAUGCAAUCAAAGCUAUGGCGGUAAGAGAUGGGCUCGCGUCCCAUUAACCGGAUGGUGAGGUAACGGCUCACCAUAGUGACGAUGGGUAACCGGCCUGAGAGGGUGAACGGUCACACUGGAACUGAGACACGGUCCAGACUCCUACGGGAGGCAGCAGUGGGGAAUAUUGCACAAUGGAGGGAACUCUGAUGCAGCGACGCCGCGUGAGUGAUGAAGGAAUUCGUUUCGUAAAACUCUGUUCUAUGGGAAGAAAAGGACUGUACCAUAGGAGAAAGCUCCGGCUAAAUACGUG
rnacentral:rRNA from 1 species